rnacentral:rRNA from 1 species
GAUGAACGCUAGCGGCAGGCCUAAUACAUGCAAGUCGAACGGUGUCUUCGGACAUAGUGGCGCACGGGUGCGUAACACGUAUGCAACCUACCUUACAUUGGGGGAUAGCCUUUCGAAAGGGAGAUUAAUACCGCAUAAGACAGUAGCUGGGCAUCCAGCAGCUGUUAAAGAUUUAUCGAUGUAAGCUGGGCAUGCGUCCAAUUAGCUAGUUGGUGAGGUAACGGCUCACCAAGGCAAUGAUUGGUAGGGGAACUGAGAGGUCAAUCCCCCACACGUGCACUGAGAUACGGGCCAGACUCCUACAGAAGGCAGCAGUAGGGAAUAUUGGGCAAUGGCCGCAAGUCUGACCCAGCCAUGCCGCGUGCAGGAUGAAGGCGUUAUGCGUUGUAAACUGCUUUUAUACAGGAAGAAACGACUCUUGCGAGAGGCAUUGACGGUACUGUAUGAAUAAGCACCGGCUAACUCCGUGCCAGCCGCCGCCGUAAAAC